rnacentral:lncRNA from 1 species
CUUUCUGUAUUUCUUCUGCCCCUUCCAUUUUUUGUGUCGCAGGAGCGGACGGGCGAUGGCUCCCGUUCCUGCAGCCCAGCUGGGCCGGCCGAGAGUCACCAGAGAGAGCUGCUCUACCAUUUCCAACCCCUUCUCUCAGCAUCUGAAAUACAAAUGUGAAGAAAAAGACCCUUUGCAGUUGGGUUUGGUUUGCCUGUCACUAGCAGGAAUCUGGUUGCCGCACAGCCGGCUGGCAGGGCUGAGUUUAAAGGCCUGGCGCGUGGCCGUCAAGGGCAGUGGGUUUGAGACUCGCAGCAGGCUUUUGGCCAGCUGCAGGUAGCCGUUUAUCCGGCUGCUCAGCUCCAGGGGGACACCUGCAGCCGGUGCCUCCAGUGCAUCUCCGGAGGGAAUGGGUUUCAUUUCCUYCUGCACCAAGGAGGGGAGCACCGGGUCUUCCUACGCACUGGGGGAGCAGGGUCUGCCCUUUCCCAGGGGGAAGAACGACGGUGGUGAUCUACGUUUCCCUUAGCAGUGCAUGUGUCCCGGUGCCCAGGAACGGCCAGCCACGUGCAGCGCAGGAGCCUCCAGCCCACGGAGGAGAGGGCCGGGCUGCCUCARCGCGCCCCAAGGAAGAGCCAAGAGGCUGUCAUGAAACUGGGCUCUUCUCCACACUAAUUGUACGCUGGGGACCAAACUUAGCCUGGUGCAACUCUGCCAAAGCCACCGGGGAUUCGUUUGGCCUCUGGUGGCUCCAUUGUUUCAGCYGAGUGAGUCAGAAGCAGCAGCCUGUUCUUAUCUGCGCGCAGUGGGGCACUGACAGCUACGGCUCUGCGAGGGCCCCCAAAAGCGGCGUGACUCGGCCCCGCGAUCGGGGCGGCCGCGGAGCGAGCGGGGCCGCAAGAGGAAACGCUUUGACAUUUGCGUUAUGGAUGGAGGCAGGUUCGGUGUGGGUGCGCUCGCGGCGCUCGCCGCCGCUGCAGGCGGAGGGGAAGGCGAUGGCGAGGUUCCCUCAAUAUUCAGUCGCACCGGCUGGAGUUCCUCAAUUUUUCGGCCGCCCGAGAGGGAAGCUGUGGCUCUGGAGCGGGCACGUGGUGUCGAAGGGGACUUCACGCUGCUUCCCAGCCCGAUUUAUGGCUGGGAUACCCUGCUGCACCAGCAGCCGUACGGCACGGCGCGGAGACUGUCUGCCUGUCGUCGGCUCUGGGAGGUGCGGGCCAGGGGGAGCAUGGGGGCCUUUGUGCCACCCCAGCCCCUGAAGGGUUAAAUAAAUACAUUAAAAUUAAUACAAACAGCUGAGGCGCCGCCUUUCCAAAAGUCACUGACUUGAG